GACGAACGCUGGCGGCGUGCUUAACACAUGCAAGUCGAACGGAAAGGCCCUGCUUUUGUGGGGUGCUCGAGUGGCGAACGGGUGAGUAACACGUGAGUAACCUACCCUUGACUUUGGGAUAACUUCAGGAAACUGGGGCUAAUACCGGAUAGGAGCUCCUGCUGCAUGGUGGGGGUUGGAAAGUUUCGGCGGUUGGGGAUGGACUCGCGGCUUAUCAGCUUGUUGGUGGGGUAGUGGCUUACCAAGGCUUUGACGGGUAGCCGGCAUGAGAGGGUGACCGGCGACAUGGGGACUGAGAUACGGCCCAGACUCCUACGGGAGGCAGCAGUGGGGAAUAUUGCACAAUGGGCGGAAGCCUGAUGCAGCAACGCCGCGUGCGGGAUGACGGCCUUCGGGUUGUAAACCGCUUUCGCCUGUGACGAAGCGUGAGUGACGGUAAUGGGUAAAGAAGCACCGGCUAACUACGUG
rnacentral:rRNA from 1 species